AGCUCUUACGAUAGCCGAGAUAUGGCAUUUUUGAUGCCCAUUUUUGGCCUCAAAAACGGACGUCGAAAACGACUUUUUCGCGAUUUUCAAAGUGCUCUCAUUCCCUUAGUUCUGCUCGGAUCCUGUUAUAACCCGGUGUUUUCGUAAUCUAGGUGACCCAAAUAAGACGCUGGUAUACUUAGUUUGAUUUCGAAAAAAAUCAAUUUUUGGUGAAAAAAUUCGAUACGGGGGGGUAUACCCGAAAAAUGAAAAAUUCCAAACUUUGAAGGUCGAUAUCUCGGCUUCUAUUGGAGCUAUCGGGAAAAUUCCAACGGUUUUGUCUUAGUUUCUUCAUUCAGAAUCCAACGAGACCAUCCGCAAGGUCGUAGCUCUUCUAAUAGCUGAGAUAUGGCAUUUUUGAUGCCCAUUUUUGGCCUCAAAAACGGACGUCGAAAACGACUUUUUCGCGAUUUUCAAAGUGCUCUCAUUCCCUUAGUUCUGCUCGGAUCCUGUUAUAACCCGGUGUUUUCGUAAUCUAGGUGACCCAAAUAAGACGCUGGUGUACUUAGUUUGAUUUCGAAAAAAAUCAAUUUUUGGUGAAAAAAUUCGAUACGGGGGGGUAUACCCGAAAAAUGAAAAAUUCCAAACUUUGAAGGUCGAUAUCUCGGCUUCUAUUGGAGCUAUCGGGAAAAUUCCAACGGUUUUGUCUUAGUUUCUUCAUUCAGAAUCCAACGAGACCAUCCGCAAGGUCGUAGCUCUUCUAAUAGCUGAGAUAUGGCAUUUUUGAUGCCCAUUUUUGGCCUCAAAAACGGACGUCGAAAACGACUUUUUCGCGAUUUUCAAAGUGCUCUCAUUCCCUUAGUUCUGCUCGGAUCCUGUUAUAACCCGGUGUUUUCGUAAUCUAGGUGACCCAAAUAAGACGCUGGUGUACUUAGUUUGAUUUCGAAAAAAAUCAAUUUUUGGUGAAAAAAUUCGAUACGGGGGGGUAUACCCGAAAAAUGAAAAAUUCCAAACUUUGAAGGUCGAUAUCUCGGCUUCUAUUGGAGCUAUCGGGAAAAUUCCAACGGUUUUGUCUUAGUUUCUUCAUUCAGAAUCCAACGAGACCAUCCGCAAGGUCGUAGCUCUUCUAAUAGCUGAGAUAUGGCAUUUUUGAUGCCCAUUUUUGGCCUCAAAAACGGACGUCGAAAACGACUUUUUCGCGAUUUUCAAAGUGCUCUCAUUCCCUUAGUUCUGCUCGGAUCCUGUUAUAACCCGGUGUUUUCGUAAUCUAGGUGACCCAAAUAAGACGCUGGUGUACUUAGUUUGAUUUCGAAAAAAAUCAAUUUUUGGUGAAAAAAUUCGAUACGGGGGGGUAUACCCAAAAAAUG